GACUUGAGGCCUCUCUGACUGCAUCUGUCACUCCACUGACAACAGGGCUGAUUUGGCUGUGGCUAAAUGGCUAUUCUCACCUUCCUUCCUCACCACCUCAAGGGCAUUCCUCCUAACACUCUACCUCUCCCCUCUCAGUCAAAAAUGACAAACUUUCCAGGUGGAAGAGGGUCACUCCUCAUCACAGGUAUAAAGCAUAGCUAAGCUCCCCUGCUAGAACCUGUAAACAUGCUUUGGAGACAGCACAAAGCAAGCAAAUGGAAUACUGCAUGACAAACAUGCAAUUUAAGAUCACU
rnacentral:snRNA from 1 species